rnacentral:lncRNA from 1 species
GACUUUAUUACAUACCAUAGAUAAACAAUCUUCAUCUUCUCUUCUCUGAUACAGCAACAAGGUCGAUUAGGGUUUUUGAUCAGCCGCUCUCCCCUCGGUUCCUUUUCUACCUUUGUUCAAUCUAGAAUUUUGAUAAUUGUCUCUCGCUCUUAUGAUCGUAUCCACCUACAACUUGAAAAUCAAUCCGAUUGUAUGGUAUCAACAUUACUUCGAACCCUAAUUCGCAUCACUGAAAGAUCUUCAAUAACAAGAUGUCUUUUGAACCCACUUGCUCACAUAAAUCUUUAGUAUUACGUGUGCAUUUGAUGAAUCUUGGAAGACUUGGGAGCUCGGGGUGGAAUUAUUUCCGACGUUGGACUUCUUUGAGACACAAAUGUCAUCCACACCAAGUAAGGCGUGGUAAAAGCGAAAAGGAAGAAAGAUCGGUAAGGCUCAUGAUCAGGUUAGUUGCUUAAUCUUUGAUAAUGAAAUUUGUCGAAACGUGUGACUAACUCAAUGUUCUAGAUAACAAAUCAACCGCGACAACGAAGGCUGCAUCCGAAUUUUUCCCCACAACUUCAGCACGUCAUAAAAGAGGUCAUAUCGCAGUGUGGUGACGUCGAAGUGAGCAACUGUAGUAGAGUCGGUGGUCUCAGAUGUUGGCGAGACAGGGGUUUAGGUCUGAAUUGCACUGAUGGUUGCUAAGGUGUGGAUGAUGCCGACGACUAGGGUUGUUGUCGAGUGUAGAUGGUGGUAGAUUGGAAUUUAGGCUUUUGCGCUAACUCUCCAUUGGAGUAGUCGAGAAUCGUCAUCAAUCAACAAACACCAGGUGAAAGCCAUUAAGCGGCUAUGAUGGGAUUUCUUGCUUUUUUUUUAUAAGAAAGGCGAUUCUAACCUUUGAAUGAUUACCUUUGGAUGGUGCGUUCAAUGGUCAUGUACUUGACUAUUGUUUUGCAAGGCUACCAUGGUUGUUGGGCUGGUAAUGUUGUUAGAUUUGUGUUGAUAUGGUUACCUAUGAGUUUUACAACUUCCUUCCUUUCGCCUUUUCAGUUUUUUUAUACAUCUUAUAUACAUCUUAUAUGCUGGUCUUUCUUUGAAGGAUUUUGCACAUGAGCAUUUUUAUGUUUCUUGAGGAAUCGUCCUAUCUAGCCAUGAUGGAUUAUGUUUGAUAUCAAUGUCUAUGAUGAUUUGUAUGAGUUCAAAGAAACAUGAAUUUUUAUGUCUAUUGGUGCGACAACUAAGGUAUUUUUUUGUUUAGAAGGCAAUCUCUUAGUAUGCAGCCAUAGAGCAUAAUCUUUAUUUCUUAAAAUCUUCGCAUUUCUGAGCCUAUGAUGUUACGUUUUUUAAGGUUAUUGACGCUUAUAUUUUUUCCAUCCACGGUAGUUGUUCAUGUUUGUAGGAUAUGGUGAUGGGUUUGAGGUUAAAUGCGAAUGAAUUUACUUUUACCAUGAUUGUGUGUCUGUGGGCUAUGAUAAUUUGUUUUAGUUCAAAGUAAGCUGAGUUCGGUUUUAAUUUCUGGAAUAAUUUAUUUAUCAAUGUAACUUCAUGUGCGUAUGCUUCACAAAAUGAUGAAGAUAUGAUCUACAUAUAUAAUGCUUACUUACACAAGCUGGUAACAUCUUUUCUAUCUCAUCCACUUGCAAGAUACAAGGUUAGUCAUGUUCAUGUUCCUUGAUAAUUUAUUGACAUUUGAUACUACACCAUCUUUUGAGCUUUAGUGAGUAAGAUGAUUUAUGCUCUAUAUGAUGUUUUUUCACAUGGUUGGUAGGUGAAAGGAACAGAGGAGAUGGCCACACCUUCUCAGAGAAUUAGAUGAAAAUCUAUAUAGCCCUGAAAAUUGUUGGUACCUUUGUUCCUUUUAUGUUCAUCUUCUCCGCGCUUUGCGAGGCGUGUUUUCUGCCAGUACUGGAUCGGUUCGUUACUUUAUCGGUACGAUGCCGGCAUUCAGUAUAGCAACUGACCAUCAGUUGAAAACCAUAAAAAUGCAUGUCGAUACUGGGUUUUUAACAACUUUGGUUUGGAGAAACAGAAGGCUCUUCAUCUUGGAAUGCUGCCAUAGCCCAUGUCUUGACAGUGAUGGUUCGGGUCGGAUCAUGGAUAAACUUUGUCAACGACAUUCAACUACGGUCAAUCACAGUCAAGAGUGGUCCAUCUGAAGGUUGUUAUAGUUAAUAUCAUCCUAGGCACUCAUGUAUGGGCAGAAGACCUAGCAGUAUGUUGAGUGGUGGAGGUUGCGACUAAUUUUGUUGGUGAUCAUUCACGUUACAACCUUCUGAAUAGGAAAUCAUUUUUUUUUUGUGUUAUUUUUCUUGAUUCGUAAUCCAUCAUCCUCAUCUAUGCUUCUGUUUUGGGUUGCGACUGGACCUGAUAACCAAUUGGUUGCUUUAUGUGGUUUUAUUCGCUGAUGGUUUGCCCAGAGCCGAAUUUCGAAGGAGUCGUUUCUUUGUCUGUUUUGGAAUGUGGAACAUCGGACUAGCGGAGUCAAACUACAAGUCUAUGUAUCGAGAGUAGUGGCUACAUGGUGCACCCAAGAGAACAUGUAAAAGUAAUAUGCAUAUUUGGUAUGACUACAACAUCGUCAAUACCUCAGUUUUGGUUACUUUCACAUGUGCGAGACGCAAGCAAUUUGUUUCACUAGGGCAGGCUUCACUCUUCUAGGGGUCAAUAUUGAUGAAUAUCAAGUUAGAUAUACCAGGAGGUGAGAAUUACUUUACAAUGAAUCGGGUCAAGUUAUGCCGAUGUACCACAAGUUUUUUGUAUUUUGGAUAUAACAUAUGUUUUAGGUAUAACAAAAUCUGUAAUUAGAUAAUUUAUCUAUACUAUCUAAUGAUCAUCCGAUUUUAGAUGCUUCGGUACAGAUCCUCCACUUUUUUUAUAAAAUA